GAUGAACGCUGGCGGCGUGCCUAAUACAUGCAAGUCGAGCGAACAGACGAGGAGCUUGCUCCUCUGACGUUAGCGGCGGACGGGUGAGUAACACGUGGAUAACCUACCUAUAAGACUGGGAUAACUUCGGGAAACCGGAGCUAAUCCCGGAUAAUAUAUUGAACCGCAUGGUUCAAUAGUGAAAGUCGGUUUUGCUGUCACUUAUAGAUGGUUCCGCGCCGCAUUAGCUAGUUGGUAAGGUAACGGCUUACCAAGGCAACGAUGCGUAGCCGACCUGAGAGGGUGAUCGGCCACACUGGAAGUGAGACACGGUCCAGACUCCUACGGGAGGGAGCAGUAGGGAAUCUUCCGCAAAGGGCGAAAGCCUGACGGAGCAACGCCGCGUGAGUGAUGAAGGUCUUCGGAUCGUAAAACUCUGUUAUUAGGGAAGAACAAAUGUGGAAGUAACUAUGCACGUCUUGACGGUACCUAAUCAGAAAGCCAUGGCUAACUACGUG
rnacentral:rRNA from 1 species